rnacentral:lncRNA from 1 species
CGAAAAAUUUAUUAAUAUUUGACAUGAACGUGAGGCUGAGUGGCAAUGAUGCGUACGGAAGCCCGGUCCGGCCAUUCCAAAAUAUUAUACAUGGUGCAGGAAGCGGGGUAAGGGGCAGUAACUUUAAGGUGGGUUUACAAAAAAGCAUCUUUAAUAUUUUCAUGUAAACACAAAAUAUAACCUGAUGUUAUUGUUUAUAUGUAUUAAAUGUCACCUGUACAUUUCUAAUAUUAUUUUUUAAAAUAGACAAAAUUAAUUGAUUGAAUAGAUAAAAAUGAAUAAACUAAAAUCUAGAGGUCACAGGAGCUUUAAUAUCAACAAAAUUAAGUAAGAUGUACAAUAUAAAAUAAUAUAGAACAAUCACGAUAAAACCUUAGAUAUUUUUGCUAAUUGAUUAUUAUAAAAGAAGAAAUUGGUAAUAUAUUAUUUCUAGUUGAACAAAUGUGUAUGUUGUGGAGUUGGUAUUUGGCUGAUGAUACAUAGUUUGAUAUUAUUGGAAAAGUUAAUUUAGUCGUUGAAACAAAUCAUUUUAAAAUUUCAGCAUUUACAGUUGUUACUUUGUUGAUAAGUUCAUGGAUAAUAACUGGUCUCAUAAUCUAGAGGUCAUAAAAAUUAAGUAAGCAAUAUAAAAAUAAUAUUCAAGUGUUUAUCAUAAAUAAAUAAUAACUUGCUGGUAUUUUAUUUACU